GGGAAAGCUGCUCACGGCGCGAGAAUACUCCCGUCACUCUUUCCUUGGCAUGUUCCGAUCUGCAUGGCGGAUCAAUGGCAGACUGAGCGUUGAAGAAGUUGGAGAAGAUGACAGGGUCCUGUUCACUUUCACAGAUCCCUCUGAUGUGGAUAGGGUUUGGAAAGGUGGACCGUGGGGCUACAACAGGGCUCCUGUAGCACUAGCGCCGUACAACGGUAUCAGUCCGGCAAGCGAGAUACCACUGAAGAAAUCAUCCUACUGGAUGACGCUGCAAGGAGUACCGCCGGCGUUCAGGUCUGAGCGUAUUAUGCACCCGAUCGGUAGUACGCUGGGAGAUUUCAAGGAGUUUGAUCGUCCGACUUUCCAGACCCGAGUCCUGCGCAUCAGGGUCAAGAUCGACUAUGCCAAGCCUCUCUUGUUUUGUCGCCGCUUCUGGGUGGAAGAUGAAGUUCAAUUUAUGGUGCAAUUUCGGUACGAUAAGUUGUUUGGCAGAUGCGGUACCUGUGGCCUAGUUACCCACGUUGGCCUUCCUUGUUUAGGGCCGGAUCUGGAAGAAGAUAGUGAUACACCAGUUGGAGCGGUAGCGCAGCCCACGGCCUUGGCAAUGCUACCGGGACAAGAAAACCCUAAUAACAAUAGGGUGGUGGUAAACAAUCAAACCUUGAUCUUCAAGGCUCAGAUACCAAAUAGCAUACCGAAAGCUUUGAAAGGCUCAACAUCAUCUUCAUCGACCCCCCAUUCCCUCCGAGCGACGAACUGAACACAGACCGGGUCGGAUUAUCGGGUGCACAAUUUUUCGGGUCCUCGUCCUUACCCAUCUAAACCUAACCCACCCCACACCAUCGUUCUCUUAAUAUUUUGGGUCCUGGAAUUACAAUCUGAACCGCCCAAGUCCAGGUUUCUCACCCGAAUUCAACACAUGGCGUCGUAAUCUGAAACAGGUGGAAAUUAGGGCUUUUUGAUUGUCAAUGUUGGUGGUUUUUGGGCAUUGUAUGAGUUUUGGAUUCAGUUGAAUAGUUGAGGAUCCUAUGUUAAGGAUCCACUGCAUGAUAGGCUAGUUAUAUCGAAAAUGUCUUUGUGUUCGAAUGAGCAGUCAAUCGGAGUUGGGUGUAUUAGUGGUCAGAAGGUUGCUGUGGAUAGGGAGAACUUGAAUGGACAUGAUGAGAGUGUUUUGAGAUGCGAGGAGGAAGAGGAUGAGGAUGAGGAUGAGGAGGAAGAUGUGGAUUUCAAUCCUUUUCUUAAAGGAGCUGUUUCGCCAGAGGCUUCUUCGAGUCUGAGCUCCGAAGUGGAGGGUAUAGAUGGUGAAGCUGAUGACGUCGGUGGAAACGAUGGCGUUGACUCGUUGAAUGUAGGUUGUGAGGGGGAGACGCGUGCUGCUGAAGAUUCUGAGCAUGGGGAGCAAGAAAUGGUGAUGCAAACUGCUGCUGCUUCUUCUGAAGAUGUGUCGGAAAAUGAAUUAGGGAACUUUGAUUCCGGAAUUGAACAUGUGGAAGAAAAGGAUGAUGGCUCAAGUUUGGGACCUGAUGUUAAUCAUGUUACUGAAGGUCAGUUAAGUAGCAAACAAAGCAGACACCAGGACGUCCACAAUAGAUCUAGAUGAUGAGGCUGAAGAUGCUAUCUGUAAACGCACACGGGCCCGCUAUUCCUUAGCAAGUUUCACUCUUGAUGAACUUGAAACUUUUCUUCAAGAAACAGACGAUGAUGACAACCUCCAAAAUGUUGAUGAUGAAGAAGAGUACAGGAAAUUUCUCACCGCUGUUUUACGUGGUGGAGAAGGUGAUAACUGAUAACCAGUUGACUAAAGAAAAUGAAAAUGCUGCUGAUGAUGAAGAUGAGGAGAAUGAUGCAGACUUUGAAUUAGGACUAGAAGAGCUUCUUGAUAGUGAUGUGGAUGAAAAUACAAGGGGUAAAAGUAUAGUGUAUGAGGGAGCUGGAAGGCGACCAAAGACUUGACAGAAUAGAAAGUUCCCUGCUGGGUCUAAGAAGAGUUUAGGACAGACAAAGAGGUCAUUGCGUCCCCUUUUACCAGUUUUGCCACAUGGACCAAUUUCCACUUUUUAUACUCAUGACACGAGAACUUUAAUACCUGGGAUUGCUUCAAGCUGUAUGUCUUCUACAAUGGAUGAUCGUUCUAAAAGUGGAUUCACUGCUCACCAGAUAGGCCAGUUGUACCAUUUGGUCCAUGAACAUGUGCAGCUGCUUAUUCAAGUAUUUUCUCUGUGUACUUGAUAACUCCAGGCAACAUAUUGCCUCUCAGGUUCGGAGAUUGAUCUGUGAGAUGCUCCACAAGCGUGAUGAAGUACUGGCAUGGAAAAAUGUACCAUAUCCAAAUAUUUGCUUUUGCCCAUCAAUGCCAACUGAAACACCUCAAUCCUACCCGAUACAAAGCACUUUAGUGUCAUCCCACACAUCUGAUGCGCAUGCAGCGUCUUCUCCUUCCAAUAAGCAGAUGUUAGUUUCCCCAAAUGUCUCUCCUUUCUGGGUGCCUUCUGUAAAUGGCCCUGUGCUAUCUGUCCUGGAUGUAGCUCCACUUAGUUUGAUUGGGAGAUACAUGGAUGAUAUUGAUACUGCUGUCCAGGGGAAUCGAUGGCGUUUCAAGGAAACUAUUUCUGAUAUUUGCCUUGAAAAAGAGCCUUUGUUUCCCCUUCCUAACUUCCCAUCAUGUGCUCAAGCCUGUGAAGUUGUAAGUGGGAUGGGUUCCUCAGCUGUCAAUGUGGUUCCAUCUUCACCUAGUCAACCACCAAAGAAGUCACUGGCUACAGCAAUUGUUGAAAGUACCAAGAAGCGAUCAAGUGCUUUAGUCCCAAGGGAAAUCGCAAACUUGGCCCAGAGAUUUUAUCCUCUGUUUAAUCCAGCAUUAUAUCCCCAUAAGCCACCCCGCGCCCCCCUGCAGCUGUCACAUCGGGUGCUUUACACUGAUGCAGAAGAUGAGUUAUUAGCAUUGGGGUUAAUGGAAUAUAAUACUGAUUGGAAGGCAAUCCAACAACGUUUUCUUCCUUGCAAAUCUAAGCACCAGUGCCUGUAGAUGCUUGCUUUGGUGUCAAAUCACAUAUUUUCCCCAGAUCUGGAGCAUUGUCAUUGCCAGCAAUAAUCUGUUGAUUCUCUUUAGGAGUACUCCGUGAGCUCAUGACAUCUACACCUCUGGGCUUUUGGAACCCUUGUUGCUUGAAAGAGAUACCAGCUGGUAGAACUUGUGUUAUGCUGAAAGAGCUUCCAGUAUUGUCAUUAAUCAAUUGUGUCCAGGACGAUUUCUGGCGCCAUGAAGCUCCUCUACCUGACUUAGUUGAGUUUGAUAGUGCAUUUUGAGGUUGAUGAUCCGCAUUCUCCUCCACCGGUUCCAUCUCACAGAGCUGGCCUUCCAAGUUUCCAUCCCUUGCCAAGUCCUGGUUUUUGCUGUCAGAAUGGGGCACUUCAAAAGCACCAGAACCAGAGUUUGGCUGGGUCUGUUCAGUUACACUCCCAGUAUUCUCAUCAGUCAAUUGUGUCAGAGAUAAUUCCUGAUGCCAUGAAGGAACUCUACCCGACUCAUAUGAGUCAGAUACCGACUUGGUAGGUUUAUGCUCUGAUCUUCCCUUAAGUGGUUCCAUCUCAAACAGCAGUUCUUCUGAGUUUCCGUCACUUGCCAGGUCCUCAGACUGGUGCACAUCGGAACUGCCAGAUUUGGGCUCGAUUUGGUCACUAGAAGAAGAUCUGCUUGUCAGUAUAUGUGAGACACUGAACCCACUGUUGUCCCUAUGACCGACAAGUUGUCUCCAUGAACAUUUCUGAGACCAUGAAACCGGGGCAGUGGAUUGUUGGACACCCAGCUCUGGUUUAUCUGGUUGAGAUUUAGAAUCGGUCUUUGAGCCAGGGAUAUCAGGCUCCAAUUCUAUUUCAUUGUAAUUCUUGUUGAGAAGGGAUUUCCUCUUUUUGUUAGGAGGUCCAUUAAUCUUACUGCACACCUGUGUUCCGCUGGAUCUCAAUUCCUCCAAGGCCGAUACUAUGUUUUCUUCAUGUUUACUUGACACAAUAUUAAUUAUGAGGUCGUCUUCCUCAGCUUCCGCUUCAGUAGGAAGAUGAAGCUCACGAUGUUGUUGACUAGGCAGAGGGGAGGCGGUAGUAUUGUGAUCAGCAUCAUCAGAAACAUGUUCCAAUUCCUUUUGUAAGAGCUUGUCCAUUACUUUAUUCAUUAUGCUAAGCUCUUUGUCAUUGAUAACAUGGUCAGGUAAUUGGUUUUGUUGAUCAGGAGAAGGGUCAGAAACAGCAUGCUCUUCACAGUCACAGAAAUGAAGGGGGAGAGAAGGAACUUGAACACGUUGGAAACUGUAUUUGUGCUUGCCAGUUCCACUAAAGGGCAAAGCUUUCACGGUUCUUAGAGCAGGAAAGAAUAAGCGAAGCUGCUUGGUGCUGUGUUGUGAAGCAGUUUUAGCUUCUUGGGUGGUGUGCUGCUUAAUUUCAGCAGCAAGUUGAGCAUUUCCUUGUUCAGCCCAUUCUCGUCUCAAACGAACAAGAUAAUGUUCUUUAGCCUUGUGGAGCUUCAGCUUCAUGCCCUUCCAAACGCACCCAUUAUACGUGGCGAAGAGCUUGGAGAGGGACUUGUCUGAGCAAGGCAGAAAGUCGACGUAAGUAAAGCUAUGGCCUUUGGUUCUGAUUAUAUCGAUUCCGUCGAUGCUUCCUCCAACUCCGGUGAACAGGCUUUGCAGAUCGUCUUCCGUCACGCUCUCUCCCAAACCCCCCAACGAAUAUUCGCUCUCUUCCUUGUUGUUUCACUUCCAUUUCAACAGAUUCUUUCUCACGAGUCACUUCUCUCCUCUCUUGCAUUCUUAUUACCACAUGCUAAGUUCCUAACUAUUCAAGAUGCAGAAGUAUUAUACAUUGUAGCCUUCCAUUCCGCAGGUUUCUAGGCUAUGUGAUGCAAGUCAGAACUGCAGCUUGUUCUUGCUGUUUGUCUCUGCAUUGCUCAUUCUUGUUUUUGCUAACACAUAGAGAAGCCACAUAUUUUUGCCAAAAUGAAGUUAAAAUACUGGAGUUUAUUAUGUUUAACCGUAAAAUGCUGGAGUACUUAGUAGUA